rnacentral:rRNA from 1 species
GGUUAAGCGACUAAGCGUACACGGUGGAUGCCCUGGCAGUCAGAGGCGAUGAAGGACGUGCUAAUCUGCGAUAAGCGUCGGUAAGGUGAUAUGAACCGUUAUAACCGGCGAUUUCCGAAUGGGGAAACCCAGUGUGAUUCGUCACACUAUCAUUAACUGAAUCCAUAGGUUAAUGAGGCGAACCGGGGGAACUGAAACAUCUAAGUACCCCGAGGAAAAGAAAUCAACCGAGAUUCCCCCAGUAGCGGCGAGCGAACGGGGAGCAGCCCAGAGCCUGAAUCAGUGUGUGUGUUAGUGGAAGCGUCUGGAAAGGCGCGCGAUACAGGGUGACAGCCCCGUACACAAAAAUGCACAUACUGUGAGCUCGAUGAGUAGGGCGGGACACGUGGUAUCCUGUCUGAAUAUGGGGGGACCAUCCUCCAAGGCUAAAUACUCCUGACUGACCGAUAGUGAACCAGUACCGUGAGGGAAAGGCGAAAAGAACCCCGGCGAGGGGAGUGAAAAAGAACCUGAAACCGUGUACGUACAAGCAGUGGGAGCACAGAGCAAUCUGUGUGACUGCGUACCUUUUGUAUAAUGGGUCAGCGACUUAUAUUCUGUAGCAAGGUUAACCGAAUAGGGGAGCCGAAGGGAAACCGAGUCUUAACUGGGCGUUAAGUUGCAGGGUAUAGACCCGAAACCCGGUGAUCUAGCCAUGGGCAGGUUGAAGGUUGGGUAACACUAACUGGAGGACCGAACCGACUAAUGUUGAAAAAUUAGCGGAUGACUUGUGGCUGGGGGUGAAAGGCCAAUCAAACCGGGAGAUAGCUGGUUCUCCCCGAAAGCUAUUUAGGUAGCGCCUCGUGAAUUCAUCUCCGGGGGUAGAGCACUGUUUCGGCAAGGGGGUCAUCCCGACUUACCAACCCGAUGCAAACUGCGAAUACCGGAGAAUGUUAUCACGGGAGACACACGGCGGGUGCUAACGUCCGUCGUGAAGAGGGAAACAACCCAGACCGCCAGCUAAGGUCCCAAAGUCAUGGUUAAGUGGGAAACGAUGUGGGAAGGCCCAGACAGCCAGGAUGUUGGCUUAGAAGCAGCCAUCAUUUAAAGAAAGCGUAAUAGCUCACUGGUCGAGUCGGCCUGCGCGGAAGAUGUAACGGGGCUAAACCAUGCACCGAAGCUGCGGCAGCGACGCUUAUGCGUUGUUGGGUAGGGGAGCGUUCUGUAAGCCUGCGAAGGUGUGCUGUGAGGCAUGCUGGAGGUAUCAGAAGUGCGAAUGCUGACAUAAGUAACGAUAAAGCGGGUGAAAAGCCCGCUCGCCGGAAGACCAAGGGUUCCUGUCCAACGUUAAUCGGGGCAGGGUGAGUCGACCCCUAAGGCGAGGCCGAAAGGCGUAGUCGAUGGGAAACAGGUUAAUAUUCCUGUACUUGGUGUUACUGCGAAGGGGGGACGGAGAAGGCUAUGUUGGCCGGGCGACGGUUGUCCCGGUUUAAGCGUGUAGGCUGGUUUUCCAGGCAAAUCCGGAAAAUCAAGGCUGAGGCGUGAUGACGAGGCACUACGGUGCUGAAGCAACAAAUGCCCUGCUUCCAGGAAAAGCCUCUAAGCAUCAGGUAACAUCAAAUCGUACCCCAAACCGACACAGGUGGUCAGGUAGAGAAUACCAAGGCGCUUGAGAGAACUCGGGUGAAGGAACUAGGCAAAAUGGUGCCGUAACUUCGGGAGAAGGCACGCUGAUAUGUAGGUGAAGCGACUUGCUCGUGGAGCUGAAAUCAGUCGAAGAUACCAGCUGGCUGCAACUGUUUAUUAAAAACACAGCACUGUGCAAACACGAAAGUGGACGUAUACGGUGUGACGCCUGCCCGGUGCCGGAAGGUUAAUUGAUGGGGUUAGCGCAAGCGAAGCUCUUGAUCGAAGCCCCGGUAAACGGCGGCCGUAACUAUAACGGUCCUAAGGUAGCGAAAUUCCUUGUCGGGUAAGUUCCGACCUGCACGAAUGGCGUAAUGAUGGCCAGGCUGUCUCCACCCGAGACUCAGUGAAAUUGAACUCGCUGUGAAGAUGCAGUGUACCCGCGGCAAGACGGAAAGACCCCGUGAACCUUUACUAUAGCUUGACACUGAACAUUGAGCCUUGAUGUGUAGGAUAGGUGGGAGGCUUUGAAGUGUGGACGCCAGUCUGCAUGGAGCCGACCUUGAAAUACCACCCUUUAAUGUUUGAUGUUCUAACGUUGACCCGUGAUCCGGGUUGCGGACAGUGUCUGGUGGGUAGUUUGACUGGGGCGGUCUCCUCCUAAAGAGUAACGGAGGAGCACGAAGGUUGGCUAAUCCUGGUCGGACAUCAGGAGGUUAGUGCAAUGGCAUAAGCCAGCUUGACUGCGAGCGUGACGGCGCGAGCAGGUGCGAAAGCAGGUCAUAGUGAUCCGGUGGUUCUGAAUGGAAGGGCCAUCGCUCAACGGAUAAAAGGUACUCCGGGGAUAACAGGCUGAUACCGCCCAAGAGUUCAUAUCGACGGCGGUGUUUGGCACCUCGAUGUCGGCUCAUCACAUCCUGGGGCUGAAGUAGGUCCCAAGGGUAUGGCUGUUCGCCAUUUAAAGUGGUACGCGAGCUGGGUUUAGAACGUCGUGAGACAGUUCGGUCCCUAUCUGCCGUGGGCGCUGGAGAACUGAGGGGGGCUGCUCCUAGUACGAGAGGACCGGAGUGGACGCAUCACUGGUGUUCGGGUUGUCAUGCCAAUGGCACUGCCCGGUAGCUAAAUGCGGAAGAGAUAAGUGCUGAAAGCAUCUAAGCACGAAACUUGCCCCGAGAUGAGUUCUCCCUGACCCUUUAAGGGUCCUGAAGGAACGUUGAAGACGACGACGUUGAUAGGCCGGGUGUGUAAGCGCAGCGAUGCGUUGAGCUAACCGGUACUAAUGAACCGUGAGGCUUAACCUU